ACUUAAAUUGAAGAGUUUGAUCAUGGCUCAGAUUGAACGCUGGCGGCAGGCCUAACACAUGCAAGUCGAGCGGUAGCACAGAGAGCUUGCUCUCGGGUGACGAGCGGCGGACGGGUGAGUAAUGUCUGGGAAACUGCCUGAUGGAGGGGGAUAACUACUGGAAACGGUAGCUAAUACCGCAUAACGUCGCAAGACCAAAGUGGGGGACCUUCGGGCCUCAUGCCAUCAGAUGUGCCCAGAUGGGAUUAGCUAGUAGGUGGGGUAACGGCUCACCUAGGCGACGAUCCCUAGCUGGUCUGAGAGGAUGACCAGCCACACUGGAACUGAGACACGGUCCAGACUCCUACGGGAGGCAGCAGUGGGGAAUAUUGCACAAUGGGCGCAAGCCUGAUGCAGCCAUGCCGCGUGUGUGAAGAAGGCCUUCGUGUUGUAAAGCACUUUCAGCGGGGAGGAAGGCGAUAAGGUUAAUAACCUUGUCGAUUGACGUUACC
rnacentral:rRNA from 1 species